rnacentral:rRNA from 1 species
CCUACGGGACGCAGCAGUGGGGAAUAUUGCACAAUGGGGGAAACCCUGAUGCAGCAACGCCGCGUGAAGGAAGACGGUUUUCGGAUUGUAAACUUCUGUUCUUAGUGAAGAAAAAUGACGGUAGCUAAGGAGCAAGCCACGGCUAACUACGUGCCAGCAGCCGCGGUAAUACGUAGGGGGCAAGCGUUAUCCGGAUUUACUGGGUGUAAAGGGGGCGCAGACGGCAAUGCAAGCCAGGAGUGAAAGCCCGGGGCCCAACCCCGGGACUGCUCUUGGAACUGCAUGGCUGGAGUACAGGAGGGGCG